AAACCAGAGCGAAUGCCAUGCAGCUUCAAGCACAAUUCAUUUGGAUACAAGCAUUACAUUUUGGAAGAUAGAUGG